GUACUACUCCCUCCGUCCAGAAUUACUUGUCACCAAAAUGGAUGUAUCUAGAACUAAAAUACAUCUAGAUACAUCCAUUUCAAUGACAAGUAUUUCCGGACGGAGGGAGUACAUU
rnacentral:pre_miRNA from 1 species